CAGGUGCUGGACCUGCAGGCACCACAGCUGCCAUGCUUCAUCUGUGACGUAAGGGCACAGAGGAAGUGGCUAUUUCAACUCCAUGCUCAGAAUAGUAGGCACUAAGAAUGGUUUGUAGCCUGACAUUC